GGGGGGCGGGGGCGGGGGGGGGGGGGCAGGCAGGGCGGGCGGGCAGGCGGGGGGGUUGCUGCGCUGGCGUUAGCGGGGGGCGGGUGGGUAACACGUGGAGACCCUACCUAUAUGACUGGGAUAGCUUCGGGAAACGGGCGCUCAUCCCGGAUAAUAUAUUGCACCGCAUGGGUCCAUAGUGACAGUCGGGUUUGCUGUCACUUCUAGAUGGUUCCGCGCCGCUUUAGCUUGUUGUUAAGGUAACUGCUUACCAGGGCGACGAUGCGUAGCAGCACUCAGAGGGUGUUCUGCCACACUGGAUCUGAGACACGGUCCCGACUCCUACGGGAGGCAGCAGUAGGGAAUCUUCCGCAAUGGGCGAAAGCCUGACGGAGCAACGCCGCGUGAGUGAUGAAGGUCUUCGGAUCGUAAAACUCUGUUAUUAGGGAAGAACAAAUGUGUAAGUAACUAUGCACGUCUUGACGGUACCUAAUCAGAAAGCCACGGCUAACUACGUG
rnacentral:rRNA from 1 species